GAUGAACGCUAGCGGGAGGCUUAACACAUGCAAGUCGAGGGGCAGCAUAGGGUAGCAAUACUCUGAUGGCGACCGGCAAACGGGUGAGUAACGCGUAUGUAACCUACCCUGUACAGGGGGAUAACCCGGAGAAAUUCGGACUAAUAUCCCAUAACAAUAUCCGGGGGCAUCUUUGGAUAUUUAAAGUUCCGGCGGUACGGGAUGGGCAUGCGUAACAUUAGCUAGUUGGUAAGGUAACGGCUUACCAAGGCUUUGACGUUUAGGGGUCCUGAGAGGGUGGUCCCCCACACUGGUACUGAGACACGGACCAGACUCCUACGGGAGGCAGCAGUGAGGAAUAUUGGUCAAUGGGCGCAAGCCUGAACCAGCCAUCCCGCGUGCAGGAAGACGGCGCUAUGCGUUGUAAACUGCUUUUCCAGGGAGAGAAACUUGCGCACGUGUUGCGCAAUUGACGGUACCCUGGGAAUAAGCAUCGGCUAACUCCGUG
rnacentral:rRNA from 1 species